UGGAUGCUGUCUUUGCAAAUCUUGCUCUUUCUAUGCUACCUUCCACUAACUCAUCUUUCUUGCAACAAAACCAAAAAGCUGAUUCGUUUUUUCUUCUUCCUUGGAAACCCAAUCUUACUGUUUGCUUUACUCAACCUGUCUUAUCAUUGCAGCUUCCUCUUUCCCAUGCCUCUCCAAUCUUAGUCUGUCUUUUACUUCCUUCUUCCCCUUUUCUCCCUCCUCAUUUCUCACCAAACUGCGCUUCAUCUUCAUCUUUCCAUUUUCCUCUUCUGUCUUCUAAUCUUCUUCGUUCUUCCUUUUUUUUCUUCUGUCUUCUACGACAUGACUUUAUGAUUUCAAAAACAAAUCUACAUUUGUUAUUAACAAUAUUGCUAACGAAACUCUAGCCGAAGGUAAAAGAAUGGCUCGAAGUCUUCCUACAGAUGUCAGUUUGCUUUUGUCGCAUUUGUGACCGGCAUCCACCGUUUGGGGUCUAAAUAAUCCACAUCUGUUGAUUCAAUGGUUAUUACGGAGAGGUUGUCCAAGGAAGAAAUUGGUUGUUUAAAAGAGUAGGUUUUACACUAUGUCGGUGUUGGUUCGCAGCGGACGAUGAUUAUUAUUCUGAAACAGAUUUGAUUCCAACUUUAUCUUUUUUUUUCUUCUGAUGUUGUUUAUAGGUGUAGAUUUCAAAUUUGGAGUGGCAUGCCCUUUUGAUUUUGAUUUAGUUUUUGUUGUUUUAGGUUUAAUGGUGUUGGCUCAAGCGAAAAAAGGGGAGAUUCGCGGCGGUUUGGUAAGAAAAGCUUCACUUUUUAUAUUUUAGAUUUGGGUCUAAUUGUUUUAAAGUAUUUUACACUCUCUCCGCCUUUGUGAACCAGCAUCCACCGUUUGGGUUCUGAAUAAUCAACAUUUGUUGAUUCAAUGGUAUUGUUUAAUCUAUCUCAUGCUAUUCCUUGUAAUCUUAUAUGUAUGUUUUUUAUUCUCAAACCAUAUCAAAACCUGUUUCGCAUCCCUCUGAGCUUCCUAAGUCGAACUUUGAUUUCUCUAUUCUGCUUGCGAAUAUAUAAUAUUGAUUUGAUUUUUUCUUCUAUUUUGCAUAGCACACUUUCGUUCACUAUUAUCCUACUGUGAUCAGUUUAAUUUAGGAAAGUCCUAAUAUCCAUCCAAGUCUAACCGUUAAUACAAACAACGGGAUAUGUGGAAGGUACCUGUGGCUUAUAUAUUUGGAGCAAUUAUUCCAGUUGAUGAUAACGGGUUUAUACUUUUUCGAUCAUGCAGUAUUAGUCGAGCAGUCGAAGCGAUGCAAAAGCCAAAGGUUCUGGAACGAAUUUGGGAAUAUCUGGAAGCUCAAUUGUGUGUUUCGACGGUUGAGAGCAAACAUAUGAUUGGCGACCAUGGUUUCAGAUGUGUUCCGACGGUGUAAACGGGCUUCAGAAGAUGAUUGUGGUGAUAGCCCAAGUGAUGAUACCGCCAGUCUAAACCACUUGAGAUUUCUUCCAAAAUUCAAUUCACCGUGACAGAAAAGAGUUUGAUCAAAGACCCGUUAUCAUCAUGGCGGCAUCAUUCCCGACAUGAAACGACAUCAUUUCUCGAUGUUUGCAUAGGUUCAAGUGAUGGAAUUGUCAGUGUAUGGGAGGUUGAUAUUAUGUAUUGUUGUUAUGUGCAGUUUUGGAAGACAUCUUCUACCGAGUAUUUGAACUCUGUAUUGAAUUUUUUGAUGGCCUUCAUGGUUAUGCUACUGGUGUGCUUACAACAGCAUAUUCGAAUUAUCCGGUGAUGCUUAGAAUUUGUGGUUCAGAUUUACAUUGUGUCACGAGGAAAAAGGAAUCAAAUUCAGCAUGUGGUACUGGUAUAAGUGCAAGAUCGAUAAAGGACUAAGCUUAAAUUUGUGGAGAAGUGGAAGAACAAAUAUUUGGCAGCCCGCUUUAAUGUUCAAAACAUGAAAGUGAGUCAUUCUGCAUAAUCUGAACAUGAAAGAAGAGAUAAUAAAUGUUUGGAUCUCACCCUGUUUCUGAAUGUUUAGAUCUCAGCCCGCUUUAACGUCUCUUUGAUUUACACACUUCUGCUAUGCGUAUCCAUUUGUCAUGUUUGGUUUUUAUGUAUCAUCUUUAUACUCAUUUAAUGCCUUCUGUAUUUUACAUUGGUAGAUUAAGGAAAAUGUGGAUGAAGCUACUGCUAUUGAUGAAUGCGAUAUUAUUACGGUUAUAUUAUAGUUCCUACUGUUUUAUCAAUCUGAAUUGCUUACUCACCUAAACUUAUACCUUAGUGUUCUAACAUUGAUUAUCUUUAACAGCAGGAAAUUACUUCUAAGUUGCACCCCGAACCAGUAACACCUACUCCCAACCCGUGUUACUCCCAACCCUGAAUCAUUAACACCUACUGCUAAAGGACAGAAUCCAGAUGGCUCCAGUGAAUCAACCACUCUUACCAGCACUUGCGAAGGAGAAUUGUCGUCAACAAAGCUUAAGAAAGUACUUAAAGUGGGAAGGAAAAUCGUGAAGGUGGAGAAAAAGUAGCAGCUUCUAUAGAGACAACCUAUGUUUUUUUGUGGAAUCUUUAGAUUUUGUUUAAUUGGAUUUUCACGUUUGAUUGUUUUUUAACGGUAUAACCAUUUUCAUUACGUACUUUCAACCAUUCUGUUA